AGUGAACGCUGGCGGCGUGCCUAAUACAUGCAAGUCGAACGGAGUGGCGCACGGGUGAGUAAUAUAUAGCUAAUCUGCCCCUUGCUGGCGGCCAACGGUUAGAAAUGACUGCUAAUACUCCAUAGGAAGGGAUGAGACUAUAUCGUAUCAGCUAGUCGGUGGGGUAACGGCCUACCGAGGCUAUGACGCGUAACUGGUCUGAGAGGAUGAUCAGUCACAUGGGAACUGAGACACGGUCCAAACGCCUACGGGAGGCAGCAGUAGGGAAUAGUGCGCAAUGGGGGAAACCCUGACGCAGCAACGGCGCGUGGGGGAUGACACUUUUCAGAGCAUAAACUCCUUUGGUUAGGGAAGCGGUACCUAACGAAUAAGCACCGGCUAACUCCGUGCCAGCAGCCGCGGUAAUUC
rnacentral:rRNA from 1 species